AAGGAUUUAAGUUAAUUAAACUUGUAACCUUCAAAGUUGCCAAUAGGAUCCUCUUCUUAAGCCUUG
rnacentral:tRNA from 1 species